rnacentral:piRNA from 1 species
UAACCGUUGCUCAGCAAGAAGCC